AUGGGCUCGAGCAGGAGUUUGUGAGUUGAAACCUGUAUGCCAUGCUCGUAGCUGUGUUGUUUUUGUCGCGUAAAAUGGAGAACUAAAAGUAAAUAGCGAUUGAAUUGGGUUCUUCAUCUGAAAUUUAAAUGACUGAGAAAAGAGGGGAGACGAAAGGAACGAAAGAAGAAUAGAAAGGAAGAGGAAGGAAGAAAGAAAGAAAGAAAGGAAGAAAGAAAGAAGAAAAAAGGAAGAGGAAGGAGAAAUGAAAGUGGCAAGGGAGGUGAAAGGAUAAAGAAAUUAAGGAAUUUAGAAAUAAAGGCGGAGAGAAAAAUCAAAGCAACUCAGAACAUGUAACAUACACCAAGUGUUGCAUUCAAAAAACUUUUGAAUAUUAAUACGACCGCCGGUCUUCAGAAAUAAAUAUUCUGAUUUUAAAACAGGUUUUUUAGACAUGUUUAAUUGUGGACAUGUAAAAUAGAAUACAGCAUGCAUUUAGACGGCGUUAGAAACUGUAUUUUUUAAACUGGAAGAUCACAUUUAAGCCUCAUAUCAUUGGGGUCAAUAUGAUUAUUGUAAGGUUUUAAUCAGGUUCGUGCACGAAGAAACGAUUUUUGAGGCAAUAUGAGACGGUUGUAUAAAAUGAAUGAAAACAGGCAGUAAAAGGGUCAACUUGAAGCUGGCGUUUGAUAAUGAGUAUAUUUACAGAACAUGACCGGAUCACUUUUA